rnacentral:misc_RNA from 1 species
GAUGAAGAACGUAGCGAAAUGCGAUAAGUAAUGUGAAUUGCAGAAUUCAGUGAAUCAUCGAAUCUUUGAACGCACAUUGCGCCCCUUGGUAUUCCGAGGGGCAUGCCUGUUCGAGCGUCAUUAUAACCCCUCAAGCUCAGCUUGGUGUUGGGGCCUGCUGCACUGGCAGCCCUUAAAAUCAGUGGCGGCGCCAUCUGGCUCUAAGCGUAGUAAUUCUUCUCGCUAUGGAGUCCUGGUGGAUGCUUGCCAUCAAUCCCCAAUUUUUCUAUGGUUGACCUCGGAUCAGGUAGGGAUACCCGCUGAACUUAAGCAUAUCAAUAAGCGGAGGA